AGGAAGUAGAAAAACCAUUACAGCUAGGAGGUUGGCUUGGAAGCAGCCAUCCUUUAAAGAAAGCGUAACAGCUCACUUGUCUAAAUAAGUUUUUCUGCGCUGAAAAUGUACCGGGGCUAAAGCUGUAUACCGAAGAUGUGAGUACUUAUUGAUUCCGAUCAAUAGGUGCGGUAGCGGAGCGUUCUGUAAGUCUGUGAAGGUAGUUUGUGAAAACUGCUGGAGAUAUCAGAAGUGAGAAUGCUGACAUAAGUAGCGUAAAAGAGUGUGAAAAACACUCUCACCAAAAAUCUAAGGGUUCCUACGUUAAGUUAAUCUGCGUAGGGUUAGUCGGUUCCUAAGGCGAGUCCGUAAAGGAGUAGUCGAUGGCAAUCAGGUUAAUAUUCCUGAACCUCUUAAGUGUGACGGGUUUUGUAUUUGUAUAGGUCUGAUUGGAUUGACCUAUGCUUAAAAGAAGCUCCAGGAAAUAGCACUUAUAUUCAUGAGGCCGUACCGUAAACCGACACUGGUGGAUGAGUAGAGUAUACUAAGGUGUUGAAAGAAUGAUGUUGAAGGAACUCGGCAAAUUGUACCUGUAACUUCGGAAGAAGGGUAACCUGCUUUUAGGCAACUAUUAGUAGGUGGCACAGAAUAGGGAGUAGCGACUGUUUACUAAAAACACAGGACUCUGCAAACACGUAAGUGGAAGUAUAGGGUCUGACGCCUGCCCGGUGCUGGAAGGUUAAUAGGAGGGGUGCAAGCUCCAAAUUGAAGCCCCAGUAAACGGCGGCCGUAACACUGACGGUCCUAAGGUAGCGAAAUUCCUUGUCGGGUAAGUUCCGACCCGCACGAAUGGCGUAACGAUUUCUCCACUGUCUCCAACAUCAAUUCAGCGAAAUUGAAUUCCCCGUGCAGAUGCGGGGUACCCGCGGUUAGACGAAGAGACCCCGUGCACCUUUACUAUAGCUUUACAUUGUUAUUAAAAAUGUAAUGUGCAGGAUAGGUGGGAGACUUUGAAGUUAUGGCGCUAGCUGUAAUGGAGUCAACCUUGAGAUACCACCCUUUACAUUUUUGAUACCUAACUAUGUUUCAUUAUCUGGAACUAGGACAUUGUAUGGUGGGUAGUUUGACUGGGGCGGUCGCCUCCUAAAAAGUAACGGAGGCGUGCGAAGGUAAGCUAGAGCUGGUCGGAAAUCAGCUUGAUAGUACAAUGGCAUAAGCUUGCCUGACUGCGAGGCUGACAAGCCAAGCAGAGACGAAAGUCGGCCAUAGUGAUCCGGUGAUUCUGUAUGGAAGGGUCAUCGCUCAACGGAUAAAAGGUACGCCGGGGAUAACAGGCUGAUGGUGUUCAAGAGUUCAUAUCGACGACACCGUUUGGCACCUCGAUGUCGACUCAUCACAUCCUGGGGCUGGAGAAGGUCCCAAGGGUUCGGCUGUUCGCCGAUUAAAGUGAUACGUGAGUUGGGUUUAGAACGUCGUGAGACAGUUCGGUUUCUAUCUGCCGUGGGUGAAGGAAAUUUGAGAAGAUCUAACUCUAGUACGAGAGGACCGAGAUGGAUAUACCUCUGGUGUACCAGCUGUUAUGCCAAUAGCAUUGCUGGGUAGCUAUGUAUAGAUGGGAUAAUUGCUGAAAGCAUAUAAGCAAGAAACCCUCUUCAAAAAGAUUUCCCAAUUAAGGCCGUGGAAGACUAUCACGUUGAUAGGCUAGGUGUGGAAGCAUGGUAACAUGUGAAGCUAACUAGUACUAAUAGCCUGAUCGAUUUAUUUGC
rnacentral:rRNA from 1 species